rnacentral:RNase_P_RNA from 1 species
GGAGUCGGGUGGACAGUCGCGUCAUUCGCAAGAAUGCCGAGGAAAGUCCGGGCUCCACAGGGCACGGUGCCAGGUAACGCCUGGGCGGCGCGAGCCGACGGAAAGUGCAACAGAAAGCAAACCGCCGAACGGCCUUUCGGGGCGCGUGGCAAGGGUGAAAUGGGGCGGUAAGAGCGCACCGCGAGUCCGGCAACGGACCGGUAUGGCAAACCCCACCGGGAGCAAGACCGAAUAGGGACCUCAUGACGCGGCCCGCGUCGGGUCCGGGUAGGUCGCUCGAACGCAAUGGCGACAUUGCGCCUAGAAGAAUGACUGUCCACGACAGAACCCGGCUUACAGCCCGACUCCGCCA